rnacentral:rRNA from 1 species
CGGGUGAGGAAUACAUCGGAAUCUACUCUGUCGUGGGGGAUAACGUAGGGAAACUUACGCUAAUACCGCAUACGACCUACGGGUGAAAGCAGGGGAUCUUCGGACCUUGCGCGAUUGAAUGAGCCGAUGUCGGAUUAGCUAGUUGGCGGGGUAAAGGCCCACCAAGGCGACGAUCCGUAGCUGGUCUGAGAGGAUGAUCAGCCACACUGGAACUGAGACACGGUCCAGACUCCUACGGGAGGCAGCAGCC